UACAGAGGGUGCAAACGUUGCUCGGAAUUAUUGGGCGUAAAGCGCGUGUAGGCGGCUUGUUAAGUUGGUUGUGAAAACCCAUGGCUCAACCACGGAAGGGCGUCCAAAACUGGCAAGCUAGAGUCCCGACGAGGAUGGCGGAAUUCCCAGUGUAGAGGUGAAAUUCGUAGAUAUUGGGAGGAACACCGGUGGCGAAGGCGGCCAUCUGGGAGGGCACUGACGCUGAGACGCGAAAGCGUGGGGAGCAAACAGG
rnacentral:rRNA from 1 species